UAAGCCAUGCAUGUCUAAGUAUAAACGAUUUAAUCGUGAAACCGCGAAUGGCUCAUUAUAACAGCUAUAAUUUACUUGAUCUUGACACAAUCCUACUUGGAUAACUGUGGUAAUUCUAGAGCUAAUACAUGCAUUAAAGCUCUGACCUCACGGGAAGAGUGCAUUUAUUAGAACAAAACCAAGCGGCUUCGGCUGUUUCUGGUUGACUCAUAGUAACUGAGCUGAUCGCAUGGUCUUGCACCGGCGACGUGUCUUUCAAGUAUCUGCCGUAUCAACUUUCGAUGGUAGUGUAUCUGACUACCAUGGUGAUCACGCGUAACGGAGAAUAAGGGUUCGGCUCCGGAGAGUUCGCCUGAGAAAUCGCGAACACAUCUAAGGAAGGCAGCAGGCGCGAAAAUUCCCCACUCUCAGCACGAGGAGGUAGUGACGAAAAAUAACGAGACCGUUCUCUUAUAAGGCCGGUCAUCGGAAUGGGUACAAUUUAAACCCUUUAACGAGUAUC
rnacentral:rRNA from 1 species